rnacentral:misc_RNA from 1 species
GUCCGUAAAGGUGGAUGAGUGGUGUUUGGUUUGUUACGUGUGGUUGGCUGCGGCGUUUGCAACAACUUCCAUGCUUUCAGACCUCUUCAUUUGUGCGGCAAGGCUUGUAUCGCCUUGAGCGUAUUGCGGGUUUUCUGUGUUGAAUACCUAAUCAAUGGUAUCGGUUGGAUUGAUCAAUGUUUGAUUUCGUCUGUCGUUGCACUUGCGGCGUGAGAUGAACCCUGAUGCGGUCUCUUUGAUCCACCUCGUUGAAGCGCAUGCUUUGACGUUGUGGCGCAUUGAGCAUUGCUUGGUCUCUUGCAUACGGAAAAUGUAGCGGGCAUGAAUCUAAUGGUUCUCGUUUGCCCUCAUAUUAGCGUAACGCUUCUCUUACACGACUUGCUCCACGUUUUAGCUCGUACGGACGUGGUGCUAUGUCAAAGAGGAAUGCUACCUGGUUGAUCCUGCCAGUAGUCAUAUGCUUGUCUCAAAGAUUAAGCCA